CUGAGAGGGAGCCUGAGAAACGGCUACCACUUCUAAGGAAGGCAGCAGGCACGCAAAUUACCCACUGGCCGAAGGCCGAGGUAAUGACGAAAAAUAACGAUACCAGACUCAUCCGAGGCCUGGUAAUCGGAAUGAGCACACUUUAAAUCCUUUAGCGAGGAACCAUUGGAGGGCAAGUCUGGUGCCAGCAGCCGCGGUAAUUCCAGCUCCAAUAGCGUAUAUUAAAGUUGUUGCGGUUAAAAAGCUCGUAGUUGGAUCUCGGCGGGCAGGGGGCGGUCCGUUAUUUGACGCGACUGCCCCAUUUGCCCGUGUUUCUUCGGCAGAACUCCCGGGGUGCUCUUCGCCAAGUGUCCCGUUGGGGGCUGCCAGGUUUACUUUGAAAAAAUUAGAGUGCUCCAAGCAGGCUCGACACGCCUGAAUAUUCGUGCAUGGAAUAAUGGAAUAGGACGUCGUUCCUAUUUUGUUGGUUUUCGGGAAUCGACGUAAUGAUUAAUAGGGACAGCCGGGGGCAUUAGUAUUCAGACGACAGAGGUGAAAUUCUUGGACCGUCUGGCGACUCACUGCUGCGAAAGCGUUUGCCAAGUAUGUUUUCAUUAAUCAAGAACGAAAGUUAGAGGUUCGAAGGCGAUCAGAUACCGCCCUAGUUCUAACCAUAAACGAUGCCAGCUAGCGAUCCGCAGACGUUUUUAUUGUAGGCUCUGCGGGAAGCUUCCGGGAAACCAAAGCGUUUGGGUUCCGGGGGAAGUAUGGUUGCAAAGCUGAAACUUAAAGAAAUUGACGGAAGGGCACCACCAGGCGUGGAACUUGCGGCUUAAUUUGACUCAACACUGGAAAUCUCACCAGGCCCGGACACCGGAAGGAUUGACAGAUUGAGAGCUCUUUCUCGAUUCGGUGGGUGGUGGUGCAUGGCCGUUCUUAGUUGGUGGAGUGAUUUGUCUGGUUAAUUCCGAUAACGAACGAGACUCCGUCCUGCUAAAUAGUUGCGACGUCACACGUGCGUUGCAAAUUCUUCUUAGAGGGACUGGCGGCAUCUAGCCGCACGAGAUGGAGCAAUAACAGGUCUGUGAUGCCCUUAGAUGUUCUGGGCUGCACGCGUGUUACACUGAAGGGAUCAGCGUGUCUUCCCUGACCGAGAGGUCCGGGUAACCCGCUGAACCCCCUUCGUGGUAGGGAUCGGAGCUUGCAAUUAUUCUCCGUGAACCAGGAAUGCCCAGUAAGCGCAAGUCAUAAGCUUGCGUUGAUUACGUCCCUGCCCUUUGUACACACCGCCCGUCGCUACUACCGAUUGAACGUUUUAGUGAGGUAUUUGGACUGGUCCUCCGGUGGCUCACGCCUCCGGUGCCGAUCGGGAAGACUCCCAAACUUGAGCGUUUAGAGG
rnacentral:rRNA from 1 species